GGCCCGAGCAGCUGCGACCCGGCCCGCGUCCGCUCGGGGCUUCACCGCCGGUAACACUCCCGGCCCCCGCGUGCAGGUGCAAACCGCUGCCAACCGCGGCGUGGGCCUGAGCUGCCCUUGGGGACAGCCUCUGCCGGGGAAGGGCCCUCCUGCGACCACAGCCUGUCGCCUGGGGACGGCUAAGCAAGACGCUGCCCAAACCUGGGAGGAAGACCUACCCUGAAGCCGCAAGCUCUUUCCCACUUCGCCGGUGACCUUGGACGCCUCUUCUAAACAAGGUCAUCCUCAUCAAGAAUUUUUCCACCUGCCUCAGUUCUUGGGAGUAUUUCACGUUGUAAAUGAAUUCUUCCCUUCAACAAAAAUUAAUUUACUUAUAGAGCAUCUACUAGUAUGCCAGUCACAUUUAUAUGUGGUAAGUUGGGGCAAGAGUAUAUUUAAGAAAUUUGUGAAUGUGAAAUCCUUAAGAGUCAGGGGUGGCAAAUAAGUUGACCAAUGUCCAUCAUGUCACCUCCAGUCUCUAAGACAAAAGUCACUAAAGAAUUAUAGUCCUCUACUUCUUAUGUGCUCAGAAGUUGCCUCCCAAGUUUGCUCAACCCAGUGAAGCCCCUGUGAUUAAUUGUCACUGACCCUUCAGUAGAACCUAUUUGCCAUCUUUGGUGUAGGAUAAAUUUAUAUAUAAGUAUAAAUGUAUUAUUUUUGAGUUCUGCACAUAUUUCUUAAAGAUAUGAUUCCAUUGUAUGUAUGAAGGGUUUGUGGGCUGUGUGUGUGUGUGUGUGUAUAUAUAUAUAUAUAGUAUAUAUAUGUAUAGAUACAGACAUGUAUUAUUUGUGAAAUAAUACUAAAUAUAACAUAAAAUGUGAGUGUAUGUGUAUAUGUAAAAUAAAGAGAAGCAAGAGGAUAUUAAGGCCAUCUUUUUGCUAGACUUUUACAUUAAAAAUUCACAGUAAAAAAAAAUAAAAAUAAUUCACAGUAAAACCUUCUGAAAGAAGUUGAAAGAACAAUAUGAAGAUUACAUAGGUCUCCCAGCUAUCAGCAAGUGUUAGAAUCAGCUUCUCAGUCCAGGCACCAGAACCAGAUUUCCUAUUUUAUUUCUGGGAAGACCCCAGCUGGAGUUUUGCCUCUUUGGAACAGGACGC
rnacentral:lncRNA from 1 species